UACGAAGGGGGCUAGCGUUGUUCGGAAUUACUGGGCGUAAAGGGCGCGUAGGCGGUACUUCAAGUCAGGCGUGAAAGCCCCGGGCUCAACCUGGGAACCGCGCUUGAGACUGGAGAACUAGAGUUCGGGAGAGGAUGGUGGAAUUCCCAGUGUAGAGGUGAAAUGCGCAGAUAUCAGGAGGAACACCAGUGGCGAAGGCGGUGCUCUGGGCCGGAACUGACGCUGAGGAGCGAAAGCGUGGGGAGCAAACAGG
rnacentral:rRNA from 1 species